AGAUGAUGAUUUAGCUUUCCUAUUGGAUACUAGUUGAAAUUCACUUGAUUCACCUUCUUGGUUUUUGUCUAGUUCCAUUGUGCUAACUUCUAAUUGGUGUGAUGAAUUUGUUUUUUUUUAACUUUAUUUAAUUUACAAUCUGUUAAAGUUGAACGAGGAAAAUUUUGUUUGGUGGUGCCAAUGAGUCGUCUAAAAUAUGAUGCUUACCAUUGUUGACUGUACUGAUAUUUUGACUUGUUGAUGCGUACCGGUAUCUAUGGUCUUCAUGAUAGGUUAGGAUCGGAGGUUUCAAGACAGAGUUCGUCCAGUUCAUUUAAUGUGUUAACUUAUAUGAAAUUUAUUGAAAGUCCGAAAGAAACACAAAAAAGUAACUAAAAAUAGAAAAGAAACACUUCAAAAGAAAAUCAAAAUUAUUUUAAAACGUAAAAAUAGGGAGAGCAAAAAAACAAUAACAAGCGUUAUUGACCGUAUCAUCAGCUGGAUCCAAAACUUUCUGGUCUAAAAAGCACUAAAAAAACUAGCUGAAUUUUCACUAAAAUAUGACAUCAGCUUUUCUCAGCUUCUCUUAUGAGCCACAUUAGGUAAUCUUAGCAUUAAGUUUAGCAGUUUGCGGCUGCUUAGCACAAUACCGUGCUCCAUAUCCAGCACCUUAUCCAGCGCCUGCCCCUGCACCUUAUCCAGUGCCUGCCCCUGCACCUUAUCCAGCGCCUGCUCCUGCACCUUACCCAAUACCUGCCCCCGCUCCCUAUCCAGCGCCUGCCCCAUACCCAGUGCCUGCUCCCUACCCUAAGCCCGUCCCCUACCCUGCACCAUCUCCCGGGCCAUACCCCCAACCAGUAUUUACCUCUUCAUCAUUUCAAGUAGCUCAAUCCUCAGUAAACCCUCCCCCAAUCUCUCCCCCCCUACCCUCAUCUUCAGCCUUUGCGUCGUCUGCAGCAGUCGCCCCACCAGGACCAGCAGAGUUCGUGCCUCCACCCCCUCCGAGCUUCAACCCUCUCAACCCCUCCAUAUCUGCCUCUGUGGAAACACCUCUUAGAAGUCUCGGACCUUCACCAGCUUCAUCAUAUGGACUGCCUAGCUUAUUUUAAUUGUAAGUUCAAAAUAGUGAGGCUGUACUAGUACAUUUGAAAUUUAUAGGUUGUUUACUUAAUAUACUUUGUAUCUAACAAAAAACCACUAAGUGGUAACACUUUCCCCGCCAAGUCAGCAAUCCAAAAAAGUUAAUAAAUCAUUACUUUUUCCG